rnacentral:misc_RNA from 1 species
CCCCCCAUCAGAAUGGAAGCCGAAACGCUUUUGCGGCUGACAGUACUCAGCUUUGGCGCUGCUGCUCCGCAGCCCACUCAUGCCAAGCACCACAAGGACAACGUAGCGCCGCCAACUCCCCACAUUGCCGCAUCUCAAGAUAUACGCAUGACCUUCAUCAACCUCUGGGCAGGGCAGCUCGGCCAGUUCAUUUCGGUCAACGCGUUUCUGCGUGAAACUCUCCUCUUUUUUCUCCCAGGACACUGGUGCUGCGGUCCCUGUGAGACGCAUAAUCUUGCGCUCCCUACAGACGCUGCCAUCGACACUAGAUCGUUUGCGCCGCGCCUUGAGCAGUACCGCACUCAGCGAACAGUGAAAAAAUGGGCAGCAAACCCGUUUUUGCAGCAGCUCGACACGCUUGUCACUCUGCUUCAACCCAAGCCGCGCCAUGCGCAGCCAUCGUUCCAGGAGUGGUUGAAAGUUGUGGAUCAUCUGCUGACAGCUCUGCGCACGCUUUUCAUGACAACGUACAGUGCCUUUUUUAACUCUUUUUGCGCCGUUCACAAGACUCUUAUAGACAGUUUUCGAAGGCCCGUUUGGGAAGAUGUACAGACCUCUUACGCACUUGCUGUGUGCGACCUCUCUCGCUCCAUUGAAUCAAAACUCAUCACCAUUGUGUCGCACGCGAUUUCCUCCAACAUUGACGCUUGCAUGGCGAACACCACGCUGCAGCUCUUCCGCACGCCAGCUAAUCUAACCCCCAACGAGAUCUCUGAUUAUGUGGCCUCAGCAUUGCUGACACGACUUGGUGACGUCGCCUCGAGUGUGGCACUUAAUGCCCGCUUCGCGAAGCAAUUCCCUCAAGCAGCGGCAAGUUUAGAUGUCAGUGAUGACAGGCAUGAAGAGUCUCUAGCGUUUCUUCGCAGCUCGAUAUCCUCCUAUGUUGAGAAGCUUUCAGCAGUAGCUACAACGACAAACCAGGGGGCACCAAGCAUCACAGAACCUUCCGCUUUCCCCAGCGAUGAAUUAGUCACCAGCUGUGCAAGCAAAGCUACUUCCACCCUGCCGGUCAGCGUGGAAGCGAAAACGAUCGCACAAGCUGCACAGGUGUCGCCGUACACGCCUCGCUCUGUUUCGGUCGAAGACGCUCUCGCGCUGACUAUCAUGUCGGAAGGAGUUGAUGUCUUCUCCAGCAUUGCUGCAGUCGCCGCAUCCGUCGGAGACGUUGAAGAGAGGGUUCGAAUCCUUGUGGCGCAGCAAGCCGAAGAACAGCGAGCUGUAUUGGGCUGGAUACCGAACAAUAAAGGCAGGCAACGGGAGAGCUGGUGUGGCGCUGUCAAGACUCCUGAGGACAUCAUCCCAGACAUCGAUGAUACUCCUGCACUAGCAAAGAAAUCACCCGCUAUCCGAGAAAAACAAGUGGAGUGCUACAGAAGCGAUCCCGGGGAAACGGUUUUGUUUUGGAAUCGACUGAGGGAGAAGCUUGGCCUGGAUGAGGCAUUGCUCAUGCAGGCAAUGACACAAUGCGGCUUUCGGUGUGAAUCGCCGUAUCCAAAUGUCUUUCUCAAAGAUCUCGAUGUGCGCAACAACGACCGGAUCACUCGGUUCUUCGUGGAAGAGGUUCGACCGCUGCUUUCAGUCGAAAGCUCCCCCAUACUGAAGGCGAGGAAUGUGCGACUUUUCCGUGAAGCCUGCACCAGCUACGGCAAGCAGCUGUGGGAAAAGACGCUUGAGAUUCGCGAAACGCUACCGUGUCUACCGGUUCGCGUGAGAGGUGUUUUGCUGGGGACAAUGUACUCGGCCAUGCGGGCAGACAAGCAGUUCGAGUCCCUCAAGCAAAUCCGUGUGCAGCUGUGUCAAGUUGCCGCCAAAAUAGGCGCCACCGCAAAGGACGCGGCAACAUUAGCCGAUACCGAAGAGCAGCUACUCAAGAGAGCAGAAAUAAUUGCCCAAGCGGUGAAUGCUAUCGAGUAUGAGGCGGUAGAGGAAAGGCGCAGUCAGGCACAGCCAACUGAAGUAGCAUCUACCCCCAAACCAGAGUACAGGGCAAAGUCAGCGCUGGCAAGCAUUUCUAAUAAAACACCCCUCUUCAACAAAGGUUUCUGCGGCUCUAUAAGCCGCUAUGCAAGAGCCAUUGGAAGCUUGGCCCCAUUGCAGACGACAAGCACCAGCUCUACUGAUGCUGCAUGGCGACGUUCCUCUGUGAUGGAUGUGUUGGCGCAGUCGCGAAAGAGUAUGGCAGAGCUGCUGGCCAAGGAAUUUUCACCUGGAACCCCUGUCGCCGAGGUUUACCGCCAAGCGUGUCGAUGCCAUGGUGUGAGUCCGAACCCCAGUGUGGUGUGCGAGCUCAGCGGCAAUGAUGCAGACUACUUUGCUACUCUCGAUCUCUCCAGCAACUACGUGGGGGUGGAGGGUCUGAGGCCGGUGCUGGACCUGCUGCAGUACAACGGCGAGCAUCUCGUUUCUCUCUCCCUCUGCAACAACGACCUGGAGAGUGAUGACGUCAGCGACCUGUGCGGCGCACUUCGAGGGCCAGCAGGCACAAACCUAGUGCACCUGGACUUGUCUUACAACCCGUUUACAAACGCUACGUUUCCUGUUCUCAAAGAACUCGUGUCAUCGCUGGGCUGCAUGGAGACACUAGUGAUCAAAGGAACCCUUCUCUCUUCAUCCGCCUCACGCCAGUUGCAGGGCAUUCUUGAAAGAAAAAUGAUUCAGAGGUGUUCCUGACAGCCAUAGGAACCAAGCGGGUGCCUGCGUAUGUGUCGGGUGUACGUGGCUACCGCCUCAGAAGAGCUGCUUUGCGUUUUUGCUUCCGCCCGAAAACAUAAAAAAGAGAAUGCCGAACAGCGUACGCUUCGGUUUCGUGGCAAAAGGCAGACUUUCUUUUCAUUCUUUGUUGUUCGCUUCCUUCGCUGUCUUUUGUGGAAGUCCCCGAUGUAUGACUGAGCACCUGCGAACAGGAGCGAAAAAAAAACGCGCAUCUCGCUAUUCACUUGCGCUAUCACCAAGUUUCAACCGAUCUUGUCUCACUGGCAACGCCAAAUAAACGCUGCGUAUGCUCCUGUGAAACCGCUGGAUGUCUUCGUGGCUGACGUGACCAGAGAACUUGC